AAAAAAAAAAAAAAAGAUUAUUAUUAUUUUUCUGAGAUGAAGAAAUACAUAAAUUAAAAGAAGUAUUUAUGAUGUAAAAGUAGCUUUUUCUUUUUCUUCUACUUUCUCCCCCAACCUUGUUUCAAAUAACUACUGGAGUAUGGAUUAUUAACCCCUUCGCAGCAGAGCAGAGAGCUCGCUAAGCCAGCAGUUCUGGAGUUAAAAGUAUGAAGAAUCAUUUGAGGCCUCGCUAAGACUGGGCUGUUUUGAAUUAUGGCUUUGUUGAGCCAAAGGUCAUUACAAUGGAUACGUAAAGCAAUAAAACUAGUGCAAGCAGUACUCUUUCCCUAUAAAGAUUAUCAUUAUUGGCUUAUUAAUAC